rnacentral:rRNA from 1 species
AGGACGAACGCUGGCGGCGUGCCUAACACAUGCAAGUCGAACGAGGUCCAUCCGGUAGCAAUACUGGUGAAGAUCAAGUGGCGAACGGGUGAGUAGCACGUGAGCAACCUGCCCCGAAGACCGGGACAACACCGGGAAACCGGUGCUAAUACCGGAUAUCCCCACCGAGUCGCAUGGCUUGGUGAGGAAAUGGAUUCCGCUUCGGGAGGGGCUCGCGGCCUAUCAGCUUGUUGGUGAGGUAAUGGCUCACCAAGGCUUCGACGGGUAGCUGGUCUGAGAGGACGAUCAGCCACACUGGGACUGAGACACGGCCCAGACUCCUACGGGAGGCAGCAGUGGGGAAUCUUGCACAAUGGGCGAAAGCCUGAUGCAGCAACGCCGCGUGAGGGACGAAGGCUUUCUGAGUUGUAAACCUCUUUCAGCAGGGACGAUUGUGACGGUACCUGCAGAAGAAGCCCGGCAACUACGCGCCAGCAGCCGCGGUAAU